rnacentral:rRNA from 1 species
AAUGAACGCUGGCGGCAGGCCUAAUACAUGCAAGUCGAUCGAUCAUACGAAGAGCUUGCUCCUCUUGCUUAAGCGGCGCACGCGGGAGUAACACGUCAGGAACCCACCUAUACGACUGGGGUUACUUCCUGAAACCGGAGGUUAUAACUGAUUAUAUAUGCAACAGCAUGGUUCAAUAACUACAGCCCGUUUUCCUGUGGCUUAUCCAUGGAGCCCCGCGGCAUUAGCUAGUUGGUAAGGUAACGGCUUACCAAGGCAACGAUGCGUAGCCGACCUGAGAGGGUGAUCGGCCACACUGGAACUGAGACACGGUCCAGACUCCUACGGGAGGCAGCAGUAGGGAAUAUUGCGCAAUGGGCGCAAGCCUGACGGAGCAAUGCCGCGUGAGUGAUGAAGGUCUUCGGAUCGUAAAACUCUGUCAUUAGGGAAGAACAAAUGUGUAAGUAAAUAUGCACGUCUUGACGGUACCUAAUCAGAAAGCAACGGCUAACUACGUG